GUACACACCGCCCGUCGCUACUACCGAUUGAAUGGUUCAGUGAGGCUUUCGGACUGGCCCAGGGAGGUCGGCAACGACCACCCAGGGCCGGAAAGUUAUCCAAACUCGAUCAUUUAGAGGAAGUAAAAGUCGUAACAAGGUCUCCGUUGGUGAACCAGCGGAGGGAUCAUUGCUGGAACGCGCCUCGGCGCACCCAGAAACCCUUUGUGAACUUAUACCUAUCGUUGCCUCGGCGUUCGGCCGGCCUCUUCACUGAGGCCCCCUGGAAACGGGGAGCAGCCCGCCGGCGGCCAACCAAACUCUUGUUUCUAUAGUGAAUCUCUGAGUGAAAAACAUAAAUGAAUCAAAACUUUCAACAACGGAUCUCUUGGUUCUGGCAUCGAUGAAGAACGCAGCGAAAUGCGAUAAGUAAUGUGAAUUGCAGAAUUCAGUGAAUCAUCGAAUCUUUGAACGCACAUUGCGCCCCCUGGUAUUCCGGGGGGCAUGCCUGUUCGAGCGUCAUUUCAACCCUCAAGCCUGGCUUGGUGAUGGGGCACUACUUCCUCACGGGAGUAGGCCCUGAAAUUCAGUGGCGAGCUCGCCAGGACCCCGAGCGUAGUAGUUACAUCUCGCUCUGGAAGGCCCUGGCGGUGCCCUGCCGUUAAACCCCCAACUUCUGAAAAUUUGACCUCGGAUCAGGUAGGAAUACCCGCUGAACUUA
rnacentral:rRNA from 1 species